GACGUAGGGCGCGAGCGUUGUCCGGAUUUAUUGGGCGUAAAGAGCUCGUAGGCGGUUUGUCGCGUCUGCUGUGAAAACCCGAGGCUCAACCUCGGGCCUGCAGUGGGGUACGGGCAGACUAGAGUGCGGUAGGGGGAGAUUGGAAUUCCUGGUGUAGCGGUGGAAUGCGCAGAUAUCAGGAGGAACACCAAUGGCGAAGGCAGAUCUCUGGGCCGUAACUGACGCUGAGGAGCGAAAGCAUGGGGAGCGAACAGG
rnacentral:rRNA from 1 species